GAUGCUGAGUUUCCAUUGCCGAUCUUUAGCCCGCUUAAGGGGAUUGAAACAUUCCUCAAUUGCUGCAAGAAUUUGAUCGGAGAAAUGAAGAAGGUGAUGGCCAAGGCCUGAGAUCGUUGACCAGGACUUCUUAUGACUCACAUCUUGGAAACUUGUAAGUGAUGGGCCACCCUAUUGACUCUGUUUCGUGGUAAUUUCCAAAUUUUAUCGGGGCAAUCUUUUCAUGGCUUUAUAAUUUCUGACUAUAGUAUUUGAACUACAU
rnacentral:lncRNA from 1 species